GGUAGUAAUACUAGUAGUCUGUAAUCAAAAGGGGUGUUAUUCUUCCCUAUAUCGUUUUUUCAAUAUCAAAUUAUUUACAAUCACAAGGUUUGUGUCCGACGAUAAGUUAUUGUCAUAAAUCGAUUCUUAGAAAAACAAAAUUUGAGGAAAUACUGAUUUACCAACACAAUCAGAGACUUACAAUUAAACGUCAAUAACCUUAGAUGGACGAUCGAAAAAUAAAAGCGUUUCGGAUAUUUAUUUUAGGACUAGAGUAGCAGAAAGAAUAGGCGAGUAAUUGUGAUAUAAGCGGGGAACUAGGAAUUAGUGGUAAAUAUAUAAAGAAUGCUGCUGUAAGUGGAGCUGCAGCUUCCUUCCAAAAUUUUUGGUCAACUUGGUUUACUGAAUUAAGUAUCGUGUGAAAAAUAUUUUUAAUACAAAUCAUUAACUUAUAACUGGAGCGAGUCGUAAAAAUUUUGCAGCUAUUUCCCUGAAUCUUAGCCAUCAAUUUGAGUGCGAAAAAUGGCCAGACAUCCUAAAAGUUAACGUGAGUAAAUUUAUUAGUAGCAUAAAUUUUUAGCUAAAUGCUUAUCUGCUUCAUUUAAAGAAUCAAAAAUUAUAGUUUGAAUGGCUCGUUAGAUCAUCAACAUACCUGAAAUGAUGACUGGCGAACUAAACGCUUUGAAAAGAGACAUAUGCAAAUGCCCACAUUAUAUUUGGUUUGUUCAUGCUUAACGCACAACUGAAUAUUGAUUGAUAUAUCAAUUUAUAUCCCCUAAGGUAUUAAUCUUAAAGUAGAAGAUUUAGAGGAAACGUUGUAGCAAAUAUGUGAAUAAGCAAAUUCAUCACCGAACAAAGGUAUCGAGAAAAAAUUAUGGCUUAUGUGUUAUAUGUUAUGAACAUUUUGGUUGGCGGUAUCCAAGUGAAGGUAACUAAAACUGACUGGUGAAAACGUAUGCUUUUACAAAUAAAACGGGUUCAAUUUUUACCCGGAAAAAUAGCAUAUGGUUAGAUGGUGUUCUGGGUGGCUCAUACAAUUAUUUUAAGUAGGUGAGAUUGCAAAUUGGAUAUACUGUUCGAACCGUUGUCUCCAAUUCUUGGAGAAGCAUUUUUCUAUCUUCUUGAGUUCAUGGAAUUUACACAACAAUUCGAUAUAAUUUACCCAAUGUACCCGCAGCCCUGGUCCUAGCACUCUUCUGUCGUAACCACUCGCCCACCUAUUUUCACCAAUUAGGUCAUUUUUGAAGUUUGAUUGUUUUAAUGCACAUGCACUUCCAUCAGCAUAGAUUAAUUAACUUUGGCAACUGUGUGUGUGUUGCCCGGUAUAGUUAAGGGUGCCAUGUCAUAGUGGAACAAGCAACGACUAUCUGUUUCUAAUGUGCCAAUGUCAGCAAUAAUAAAAGAUGCUUGAAUUUUAAAAAAAUUAAUAUGUGUAAGUCUCGAAUAUUUUAACAUGGUUUAAGGUAUGUAAGUAGCUUUAAAUUGUGUGUUUCUAUCAAGUCCCCUUAGUCAUCACUGACGUAUAAGAAUACGCCAACUUGAGCCUCUGCAAUAAACGUCAAACAUUAAAAUCACUUGGAUACAAAAAAUAUUUUCAUGUUUUUGGUAUUUUGCUUUUUAGACAAGAUCGAGACUUCACCGAUAUAUAUUAUAUACUUACCGAUAAUCCAACAUCCAAAUCCAUAACCCCAAAAUGACCAACUCUCAGACACAGCGGCUUCUGACAUCUCACGCUCAUUAUGAGUACCAUGACUUGAGUUGCGGUGUCUUGUUGGUACCAGUCACUCUCGAAGAGGCCUCUGGCUAAUUCCGAACUCUAAAAUAAAAUCUCUACAAGAUUAAUGUAUUCCGAAUGCAUAGAGAACAGACAAUCUGCACCCGCAUAUAUUUAGUUUAUAAGUCCCACGCAAAAAUAUUUUAAUUAAAAAAAUUUCAGUUGGUUGUAAAUUUGACCAUCAUAUUGUCCAUUAGUUCUUGAUAUUAGUGGUAUUGUAUUAUAUCAUAACUGAUAAUUACUUUCUCCAAGAUAAUACCUUCAACGACGGCCAUUAUUAAAAUAAAUGACCAAUUAUUUUCAAUCAUUAGUAUGCCCAAUAACGAGACUUACCUGAACAUAAUCUCAUUAGACGUCCAUGCGAAGACAAGAAGUUGCAUAGAUGUGUAGGUCAACAUUACAAACGCAAAAAAAAGGUCGGAUGCCCUAGAAAUUAUUGUGUAUUUGUUAGGCAGCAAGACGUUAAUUCAAAAAACUUUGGUUAGUUUUGUUGGGAACAUAUUGGUCGUUGCGGAAAUGCCUAUUUUUGCUGGAAUCUUGUCCCAAUCAAGAGUUACAGAACAGAAGGUUUUACGUUAAUAUCUGCUGCUUUGUCGAUGUUUUCGAUACGAAGAAGCCGAUUUUGAUUAAAAAUUUAUCGAACUCGAUAAGAAAUGGCAACAAUUUGAACCAUAAAGUAAGGUUUUAAGCUGAUAUCUGCAGGUUUGAUGGCGUGUAAUAUCAUGAGAAAAUAAAUAACAAUUUUACAAUUGCAAUGAAAUCUAUGUGGGACAAGUACUUUGUUAUUUCGUGCGGCCACUGCUUACCAGAGUAAUUUGUAGGAUUUGUGCUGCAAACGAUAGAGAAGAAACUAUAUACUCCAACAAUAUAAUAGUUUUGAAGGACUGUUUCAGAUCGUCGACGUAGCUGCAAAUAAUUUCGGUAAAAAAGAAGCAUUAAAAUUAAGUAUAAUAGUUAAAACCCUCCGUUUUAGAUCUUAAACUUUUAAACACUUAAACAUUGUGCAAUAUAUAAAUUCAUAUUUACCCAAUUAGAUUUUGAUGCUUAACACACAACCUCUUGAGCAAAUCCGCACCUUGUAAGUUAUCCAAUUUAUCAAAGUUCCUAAAACUAUGUUAACUGGAGUCUGACAAAUACGAAUAUGGUAUUGACGAAUGCGCCAACCACAGCAACCAGUAAUGAAGCAAACAUCGCUCGAAUAUUCUGGUCAACCAAAACCAAGGUGUAGUGUUUAUUCCUAUCGAACGGAUGCCAAUAAUACCAAUACCAUAUUGCCACCUCGGUGUUGCUUGAAAUACGUGUAGCAAUUAAUGUAACCUGCAAGGAUUAACUUCAAUUGCACUUAAAUCAACAAUUUAUUGGAAAAAUUUUACCAAAUAUGUUCACGCAUAUAGCCACCAAGAACGACCCGCAGGAAAGGAUAGUGACGACGUAAUUACCGCAACUAUGCCAUUCGUAUAUCGCUUUUAUUUCGGCGUUAAUGUGUCCUGCGAUUUGAAAUUACGACUGCAAGGCAAGUCGCAGCAGACUCACAAUGGAUUUUGACUGGCACAUAAACAUUUUGGCUAGCAUAACCACGGAAAAAGUAAUUAAACCCAUGGUACUUAUUGCUAGAAGUAGGUUAGUAUAUUAUAUUAUAUGUCAGCAAAUGUGUAGCUCAUACAAUACCUAUGCGGUUAACGGCUUGCGUACUAAACACUAUUAUUAUGUUAUCUUUCACUAAAAAAAAAUUGAAAGAUUUUUUUAAUAUAACAAACACUUAAGUUUUUUUAAAUGGCUUUUGGAAGAUAGAUAAAGUGCAAAAUGUUCAAAAUAAGGAAUUUCCAGAAAAAUUCAAAAAAAUGAACUUAGGGAGUUAGCUUUGGUUAGUUUUUAAUUUUGUUUUAUAAUGAUGUAUUCUGCUCUCGAUUUUGUUUAAUUGUCCGAAAUGAUCACAAAAAAUAAAAAUUAAAAAACUUUUUUUUAAUUAUAUUUGUUAUAUUUCGAAUAAUCGAAUUCAAUUAAUGCAACAUUAUGCUGAUCGUCCACUUUGUGGACUUGAGGUUUGAAUUGCUGAUUGCUCAUUUCCUUGAUUGAAUUUACCUAGUGAAAGACAUUACGGCGACUCUAAUGACUAUUGAAAUAUCAGCAAAUUAUUAGAGACAGUGUUUCAUCAACAAAAACCUUGCAAAAUCCCAAUUGAAUUUUAGUAGUCAAUACUCAGAAAACAGAUCAAAUUGAUUUGUGCAUCUUUACACUAACUCUAGCUGUAUUACCUGCCGGCAUAUCUGUUUUUAACAAAGUAGGCAUGUUUAACGUAUACGAAAUCAACGAUGAGCAUAGACCCAUCUGAAUAAAGAUGGAAUAGGCAUGGUAGAACGAUCUCUUCGAGAUCGAAAAUUCUUCGAUUUCAAUUCUCCAUAUUCCGCUAAUUAUCAUCAACCAUUUUAUGUACCUAAAGUAUCGCUGGGUCAGGUCGAUGUGAUCCAUAUUCGACUAUCCGAAAUGAACCAGAAAUAUUAAAUAUGCGUUUCGCUCCAAUUCGUCUAGGAAACUGGAGCGAAAAGCUCUGCUGCUAAAUGAAUAUAUAUACCUGCGAAUAUUGCGGAUAUAAUAACAAAGUUCAAGGUUUAAGAAAGAGAGGAAUAUCAUUGACGUGCUUCGAAUUUAUUUGUUGAUUUUGGUUAGUUUUGGUUAGCACCGACUCUUGUCAUCUUGAAUGAGAUCUUCAUUACUUUCUAACAUCGACAUAGCCAAUACAUCUUAUAUAAACGCAAUAUAUUUAUAUAAUUUGUUUGAAAUGUAAAAGUAAUCAUUGGCCCAGUAUGAGUGGAAGUCAGGUUAUGCGCAUGUUGCAUUAACAUCAAAAGCAAUUAUUACACCACCGUGCAAUAAAAAUAAAACUUACUCUGGCAUGUAAUCAAAACGAGUACUAUUGUUCCCCAUAUCGUUUUUUCUAUACCAAAUUAUUUAUAAGCCAAACGUGGUCCGCGAAUAAGUUGUUUCCGUAAAUUGAUUGGUGAGGAAAUAAAAUUUACCGAAAAACUGAUCCGCUAAGACAAUCGAAAAUUUACAAUUAAAAACCAGUGACGUAACAAUAACGACCGAAAUGGAGAAGCGUUCCAGAUGUUUAUUUGGCGACCAGCGUUUCGAGCGACGUAUACUCUGUUCUUAUCAACUGGGUCAACCUCAAGAAGCAUCGUGUUAGUAGUUAGCAGCAGUCUUACGUGAAUAAUAAUCUCGUUGGAAGUCCAUGCGAACACGAGCAAUUGUAUAACCGUGUAAGCCAACAAUAUGAAUGCGAAAAAUGGUCGGACACCCUAGAAAUUAAUUUAACGUUAUUUGCAGAAUCUGUGACGCGAACGACUGCGAGGAUAUCACGUACUCCAAGAAUAUGAUAGUUUUGAAGGACGCGUUCUGGGCGGUUUGAAACGAAAAAUAUGUUAACCGAUAAACAUGUAUGAGAUUUUCUUUUGACAAUAUGUAAACCCAUAGAACUUAUAUACCGAAUUAAAUGCUGAUGUCAACGCAUAUUCCCGCAAAUAAACCACCGAAGAAGAGGAUCGAGAUAAAAAAAUUAUCGCAGCUUAUGUGCCAUUCGUAUAUCGCUUUUAUUUCUCCACUGAUUUGUCCUCCUUGAUUUUCUUGAUAUUCCGACUGCAAGGCUAGCCGCAGCAGUCUGACAAUGGGUUUCGAUUGGCACAUGAACAUUUUGGUUAGUGCCACCCCAUUGAAGAUAAUUAAUCCCAUCGUACUGACUGCUAGAAACGCAUAUCAAUAAAAGGGAUUUUAUAGUAUUCGGGCUGGCUCAAAGAGUCAGUGAGUUUGUAAAUUCGAUAUGCUUAUCUUCGAUAAAUACUUUUCUUUCGUCUUUAUUUCUGUUUGGAAUUGAUCUUACAAUGCCAUAUAAAAUUUAAAUGUUACCGUACCCAUUAAUCGCUUCGAUUUUAAGCUCUAAGCAAAAAAUUAAGUGAAAAUAAAUAUCAAAUUCUGCCAUUUUGAUUUCGGGAAAUCUGAAUACAUAGUUCCAUUUUUUUCAGACGAGAUGGUUCGUAUAACUAUUAAGUUUGGUGAGAAAAUUCUGUCUGUUUAGAAAUACUUCUAAAUAAAAUGCCAAGUCACACUUCUGUACAUAUUUAUUUAUGCGGUAAGGCAUUUUCACCUGUAUAACUUUAAAUAAAUGUAUUCAUUUUCUAAUUACUUCAAAUAAGUAUUCCGUUGUGAUCAAACUAGUUAAACAGUUUGUUUCAAAACAAAUGUGAAAAACUUAAGGCGGUGAUUCGUCGUUUACCAACCACGUGCUACAAAUAUGGCGGAAACAUAAUGUUUUAAUUAUUUUUUUUUUAAACGGAAAUAGAUGGAAUAAUAAAAUAUUACGGAAGUAUUACGCAGUUUCUGCAUAUUUUUUUUAAAUAAGUGGCCUUGUCAUUGUUUUUAAUAAAAUUUAAAUAAAAUCUUACGCAAUGACAUAUAAACAAAAUAAAUUUUGGAGAUGUGUUUAUUAGAAACUUUUUGCUCUCGCGUAAUAUUUUCAUAAAACUCAUAGUUUUCAAAUAAAAGAAUAAAAUGUAAAGAAUUGCAUGCUGAAAAAACAUUACGGCUGUACAUAAAAUCUAUAUCUGCCAUUUCGCGUUAGUGUAAUUAGAUAUGUUUUUAAUUAAAUUACUUGUAUUUUGUAAUCACUCUAACUGCGUAACGUCAAAGAAAGCAAUAAUAAGAAACGCCUUAAGAAGUGACAGCAACCCACUAGAUUUCUUUUUUUUUUUGGUAUAAAAAAUUUGCAGGAGACAAAAGUUUCUUAAAAAUACAUAUUAUUUUAUGUUAUUGCAUAAGUUUUUCCUUAAAUUCAGUUAGGAAGAUUGAUAUUGGUAGUCAAAUUUUAUCUCCUCUCUCCUCUCCCUAUCCAAGAUAAAAAGAUAAGAUAAAAAAUAAAGCGUGACUUUCCGCCAUAUUUGUACCGCGAUAUCUGCCUAAUGCUUGGCUUUUGAUAUAACGUUUAUAUAACAAACUAGCGUUUAUUUUAAACAACGCCCUUAAGUUUUUUGCAUUUAUUUAAAACAGUCUGCAUAUUAUUACGUUGUCAUUUUUUAUAUUCUCAAGUACAAUGACCACUUAUUUUGCCGUUGUCAAUGCUGAGAACUUAACCGGAAAUUAGAAACUUAUCUCAAUAUGACCACCUUCUGAAUGUAUUAGAUUCUAUGGUACCAAAUUUACCCCUUAAGUUUUUUGCAUUUGUUUUAAAACAGUCUGUAUAUUUUUACGUUAUCAUUUUUCUAUAUUCUCAAGUGCAAUGACCACUUAUUUUGCCAUUGUCAAUGUUGAGAACUUAACCGGAAAUUAGCUUCGAAAAGAAUGCAAACUUAUCUUUAUAAGACCACCUUCUUAGUGUAUUAGAUUCUAUGGUACUAUUUUGUGCAGCAAUACUAAUAAAAUUGUAAUAAUUCUAAAAUUACCUGCUGGCAUAUCCGUUUUUAACAAUUUAGGCAUAUUGAGCGUAUAUGAAAUCAACGACGAGGAAAAAACCAUCUGAAUCAAAAUGGCGAAUAUAUGAUACGACGUUUUCUUUGGGGACGAGAGUUCUUCGAUCUUAAUUCUCCAAAUGCCUGCACUGACCAUCAGCCAUUUUACGUAUUUAAAGUAUUGAUGAGUUAAGUUGAUAUGAAUCAUGUUCUCGACGGUACGAAAUCGACAGGGAAAAUGUAAUAAAACGUUUUCUUUCAUUUGUAUUAUUAAAGCGAACCGAAAACUAUCUUAAAACAUAAAUGAAGUAAUGACAGAGUACAGCGUUACAAACAGACGGAUAUCUUUGACGUGCUUCGAAUUUGUUUGGCAAGUUUUACACCAGGCCUUUUACUUUGGUGUUCCAAUUUUUCUAUUUUCCUGGCUCCGACGUAUAGAAAAGGUUUACUUUAACAAUAAGUAACAUAGAAUAUUUGUCGUUAGUUUAUGUGUGCUUUCUAACUUUGUAACUCAAUAUUACGCAGGUCAUCCACCUACUCCAUCAAAAAUUAUCCACUACUUAGUGAAAAUGAAAGACACCUCGGUUGAUUUCAUUGAUUGAUUUACAUUACAUAAGACGUAAAGUUAGCAAGCAAAAUUCCGAAUUCGCACGUCCCUGACGCGCGACUCAUGAAUGAAUAAUGAAAGGGUAACGCUGCAAAAUAUACUAUUGUUGUACGACUGAUCUGUAAUCAAAAGGGGCGACAUUCUUUUCAGUAUCGAGUAAUUCACAAACCAAACGUUUGUGUUUGUGAAUAAAGUUCGAAAUGAAUUUUCCGUCAACAGAGUUUUUUCUGUUUUACAAGGUUUUGAGUAGUGUCGUCGAAUUAAUACACGUCGGC